rnacentral:rRNA from 1 species
UGCGUAGGCGGAUAAAUAAGUCAGUGGUGAAAUCUUCCGGCUCAACCGGGAAACUGCCAUUGAUACUGUUUAUCUUGAGUUCGGUAGAGGUAGGCGGAAUGUGUAAUGUAGCGGUGAAAUGCUUAGAUAUUACACAGAACACCAAUUGCGUAGGCAGCUUACUAGACCGACACUGACGCUGAGGCACGAGAGCGUGGGUAGCGAACAGGAUUAGAUACCCUGGUAGUCC